rnacentral:lncRNA from 1 species
GUACAAGUCACCACCUCCUCCACCAAUUGAGCACAAACCACCACCUUAUGAGUAUAAAUCACCACCUCCACCACCACAUGAGCACAAGGCUCCUCCGUACGAGUAUAAGUCACCCCCUCCGCCAUCACCAUCACCUCCACCACCUUAUGAGUAUAAAUCACCACCUCCACCACCACAUGAGCACAAGGCUCCUCCGUACGAGUAUAAGUCACCCCCUCCGCCAUCACCAUCACCUCCACCACCUUAUGAGUAUAAAUCACCACCUCCACCACCACAUGAGCACAAGGCUCCUCCGUACGAGUAUAAGUCACCCCCUCCGCCAUCACCAUCACCACCACCUCCUUAUGAGUAUAAAUCACCACCUCCCCCACCACAUGAGCACAAGGCUCCUCCGUACGAGUAUAUUUCACCACCCCCACCAUCACCAUCACCACCACCUCCUUAUGAGUAUAAAUCACCACCUCCACCACCACAUGAGCACAAGGCUCCUCCUUAUGAGUACAAGUCACCACCACCUCCAUACGUAUACAAGUCACCACCUCCACCACCAUAUGAACACAAGGUUCCUCCCUACGAGUACAAGUCACCACCUCCACCAUCACCAUCACCACCACCUCCUUACAUAUACAAAUCACCACCUCCACCACCACCAUAUGAGCAUAAGUCUCCUCCUUAUGUGUACAAGUCCCCUCCCCCACCACCAUAUGAGCACAAGUCUCCACCUUACGUAUAUAAGUCACCCCCUCCUCCUUCACCGUCACCACCACCCCCAUAUGUAUAUAAGUCACCACCACCUCCACCACCAUACGAGCAUAAGUCUCCUCCUUAUGUGUACAAGUCACCUCCUCCUCCACCACCAUAUGAACACAAAUCUCCACCCUACUAUUACAGCUCUCCUCCUCCACCUCCUUACUACUAUAAAUCUCCCCCACCACCUUCACCAUCUCCUCCACCACCUUAUUAUUAUGAGUCUCCACCACCACCAGUAAAGUCUCCAUCUCCAAAGCCUUACUAUUAUAAAUCUCCUCCACCACCAUCUCCUGUACCCCAUCCACCUUACUACUACAACUCUCCUCCUCCACCAUCUCCUUCACCUCCUCCACCUUACUAUUAUAAUUCUCCACCACCUCCUUCACCGUCUCCUCCACCACCGUACUACUAUAAAUCUCCUCCUCCUCCAUCUCCUAAACCGCACCCCCCUUACUACUAUAACUCUCCACCACCUCCAGUAAAAUCUCCACCUCAUCCAACACCUUACUACUACAAAUCUCCACCACCACCCACUCCAUACUAUUAUAAUUCUCCUCCUCCACCUGUCGUGUAUCCUCCACAUCCCCACCAUCACCCAUUGAUUGUGAAGGUUGUGGGCAAAGUCUACAGCUAUAAGUGCUAUGACUGGGAGUAUCCUGAAAAGUCACACAACAAGAAGCAUCUCAAAGGUACACGACAUUCUCUACGUCAUUUUUUAGUUCGAAAGUCUUAUUAUUGUUACAAUUGAAUUGUCAAUUCUUAUGCUUUUGAGCAUUGCUCGUUAUUAUCUUCAUUUGGCAUUCACUUUUUUUCGUUAGAGAAUGCACGUCUUUGUCUAGUAGAACUUGUGCUUCAUUUUACACAAGCAUUUGCUAUUAGUACUCACAGUAUUUUGUCGCUAAACUUUUCGUGAUGCUUGCAGUUCCAAUCAUAUUAGAUAACUCUAGAGCAUGUAGAAAUUAAAUGUUAGAAUGCAUUAACUUAAUUUAUCUUGAACCGACCACCUAAUCGGAAAACCAAAAUGAAUGCAUUAAUAUUUGAUGCUUAAAUUAGUAAAGUGUCAAUUAGACUUUUUAAUAAUGUAUAGAAUUGGAGAACCUUUUGUUACAGUUGAUAGGUAAGAUACAAUCAAUGUCUCAAUGUACAUUCACCAUCACAUUACUAAAAAAGAACCUUUUCUUAUUCAAAACUGGUUGUAGCAUGUAAUUAACACCAACACUCAACAUGAAAAUGAUAGUUUUCUUUUUCUUCAUAAAUAAACAUGAAAAGGAUAGUUUAACUCGAGAUUCUUUUUAUAAUUUGCUCCAAUAUAAUAUCUUUGGUGGAUUUAUGAUAUCUUGUCGUAUUAUUGUUUGCUAAUUGUAAUAUUUCAAUUAUGGAUCAGGUGCUGUUGUGGAGGUCAAAUGCAAAGCAGGCAGACACAUCAUCAAGGCUUACGGGGAAACUAAGAGCAAUGGAAAGUAUAGCAUUACAGUUAAGGACUUUGACUAUGCUAAAUAUGGCUCCAGGGUAUGCAAGGCUAGGUUACAUGCUCCACCUAAGAACUCACCCUUCAACAUACCCACUAAGCUAAACGAAGGAACCGACUUGAAGGUGAAAUCAAAGGACAAAUAUGAAGUUGUGCUUGAAGCUAAGCCAUUUGCCUAUGCUUCAAAGAAACAUUUUGAAGAAUGUGAAAAAUCCAAGCCUUCACCAACUCCCUACUAUUAUAAAUCACCACCACCUCCAUCACCGGUUUACAUAUACAAGUCUCCACCUCCACCAUCACCUACAUAUGUAUACAAGUCACCACCUCCACCAGUUCACCACUAUUCUCCUCCGUACUAUUACCAAUCCCCACCACCACCUUCACCAAAACCCAAUCCUCCAUAUUACUACCAAUCCCCACCUCCACCUUCACCAAAACCCAAGCCUCCGUACUACUACCAAUCUCCACCUCCACCAACACCAGUAGUAAAGCCACCUUACUACUACCAAUCUCCACCUCCACCAUCACCGGUACCCAAACCUCCAUACUACUACCAAUCACCACCUCCACCAUCACCAAAACCCAAGCCUCCAUACUACUACCAAUCCCCACCUCCACCAACACCAGUAGUAAAGCCACCUUACUACUACCAAUCUCCACCUCCACCAUCACCGGUACCCAAACCUCCAUACUACUACCAAUCACCACCUCCACCAUCACCAAAACCCAAGCCUCCAUACUACUACCAAUCCCCACCUCCUCCAUCACCAGUACCUAAGCCUCCAUACUACUACCAAUCUCCACCACCCCCAUCACCAGUACCCAAGCCUCCAUACUAUUACCAAUCUCCACCUCCACCUUCACCGAAACCCAAGCCUCCGUACUAUUACCAAUCCCCACCACCACCUUCACCAAAACCAAAGCCUCCGUACUAUUACCAAUCCCCACCUCCACCAUCGCCAGUACCCAAGCCUCCGUACUACUACCAAUCUCCGCCUCCACCAUCACCGGUACCUAAACCUCCAUACUACUACCAAUCUCCACCUCCACCAUCACCAGUAACAAAGCCUCCGUACUAUUACCAAUCUCCGCCUCCACCAUCACCGGUACCUAAACCUCCAUACUACUAUCAAUCUCCACCUCCACCUUCACCAAAACCCAAGCCUCCGUACUAUUACCAAUCCCCACCUCCACCUUCACCUAAACCCAAGCCUCCUUACUACUACCAAUCCCCACCUCCUCCGUCACCGGUGCCUAAACCUCCAUACUAUUACCAAUCUCCACCUCCACCAUCACCAUCACCCCCACCACCUUAUUAUUACCAUUCUCCUCCUCCACCAUCACCAUCUCCCCCUCCUCCUUACUACUAUAAGAGUCCUCCCCCACCAUCUCCAUCACCUCCUCCUCCAUACUAUUAUAAAUCUCCACCACCACCUAAAGAAUUGCCACACCCUCCUUACUAUUAUAAGUCACCACCCCCACCAUCACCAUCACCUCCUCAUCCAUACUAUUACAAAUCUCCUCCACCACCGUCACCAUCUCC